AUGGAAGCAUACUUAGAAGCAUUACCUUUCUUUUCUUUAGUGGAGAAGAAUACAAGAACACAGCACUGCUUCUGUGAGAUUCCUGCCAAAGAUGCGCAACCUAAAUUUAAUCAUGAGGAAACAUCAGACAAACCCAAAUUAAGGACAUUCUACAAAAGAGCUGGCCUUUAAAUUUCAAGCGUCAAGAUCCUGAUAGUCAAAGAAAGACUGAGAAGAUUGUUCCAGGGGAAAGAGACUAAAAAGACCUGACAACUGUAUGUAUCUUGUGAUUCUAAGCUGGAGCCUUUACUACAAAAUCAUUAUUGGGACAGUUGGUAAAGCCUAAAUGGGGUCUGAUGAUUGAGUGUUAGUGAUACAUUUGUGGUAAUUCCUUGAAUCCAAUGGCUGCAUUUUAGUUGUGUAGGAAAACAUCCUUGUUUGUAAGAAAUACACAUCACCGUGCUCUGGGAUGAUGGAAAUCAGGUUGGCAGCUUGUCCUAAAUGGCUCAGGAAAAAAAAGUUUCCUGUAUUGUUCAACUGUAAGUUUGACAUUAUUUUAAGAAUUGUAAUUUAAAUUUGCUUUUAUGAUCAACAAUCCUUUAGUAUUAAUCAUAUACACUGUUGCUGUAAAUAUCAUAUUAUAUUAGAUAAUCCAUCUGGCAUUGUAAAGCAUUUUACCUGUUGACCUGAAAAAUGAUGAUAAUAGACUCACUGGGGUUUUGUUAGUAUUCAGAUGGGCAUGUAACAUAUUCUUUUUCCAUAUAAAAAAGGAGGGAAAUGUCUUAGUGAUUAAGUCUAUUUUAAUAGAAAAUAGGAUGAUUUAUUUUAGUAUUGUAAGUUUAUUUUCAGUAUUGAAGUCCAAAGCAUUGAUUUUCCCCCCAAAUAACAGAACAAUGGAUGCGGUCUUAUGAUUCAAAAGAAGUCAUUUUUACUCAUUAAAGAAAUCAGAGCCAGAUAAGACAUAUCUUUUGCAACCUUGGCUAAUUUACCUGACUAAUCCAAUUUUAUAAUUUUAUAAUUUCUUCUAUAACUUUACACUUAUUAUUGCUUUUUCUUUAAAACUACAUAGAAAUUUAACUAAAUUGGACCUGUGAUAAAAGUAUCUACCCAAAGAGUUUGAAAUAGAAAUUUUAACCCCAAAUCAGAAGUAAUAAGAACUAACAGCAUUAAGUGGUCAUAAGUGAACGGAUCUUUCCCUGUACAUAGAUACAUAUGUAGACAUCUACAUAUUUAUAAUGUAAUGCUCACAACACUAUGUAUUAGGUAUUAUUAGACCAAUAUAAUACAUAAGUAAACUGAAGUCUAAGAGGUUACAUAGUCAUACAAGUUGCUAAGCGAAAGGCAUAAGUUGUCUUGUGAAAGUGUAUCCCAACUAUCAAGGCUUAUAAAUCUCUUUACUAACCAGCCUUCUGAGGUAUGGCUGACCCUAGAAUUGCCCAGGACCCAAAGCAAUUAUGCUUCUAAAACCACUGUACGCCGGUACUCCCAAAUAUUCGUGUUUCUAAGAAAUCUAGUUAAAAGCUAUAGCUAAAGAAACUCCAAGUAGAAAGAAGUGAUGCAAGGUCGACACCAAACCUCUUAUAGGUGGAGAUUUGAAAUAACUCAUUUGAGGGGUGGCAGGACUAAUGGGUUGAUUGUAUCCAUCUGAACCUUACGUCUUUUUGACACAAAUGCACUUAAUCACACCAUUUUCCCCAAUUAACAGCCUACCUGAUUCACUGCCCUAAACCAACUGAAGUCCCACAGGAAGGGACCCAGGCUAAUCCUCACCCCCUCCCACCCAGCCUAAUUACCAUAGUCAUCUGCAUUUACAUCGACUGGGGGAGAAGGCAACAACGAAGAGAAACAUUGAUUAUUUUUGCAGUUUCAAGUCCAAUCUGAUUUAGAAACUACAUAUCAGUUUAUCUUGAAGUAAGCUAAGAAUGAAAUAGAAUUCUAUGUUAUGGCACGUAUCUAGAAAGUAUCAGUAAUCGAUGGUUUAUAUUUUAAAAUAAACUUUCUCAGGUUAUUAUUCCUAUUUUAAAUGUAAAUUUGCUGUGAUAAGUGUUUUUGAUAAAGUUCAGAAUUUCAUUUUACUAAUCUAAUGAGGAAAAAUAAGCACUUUAUAGACUGAAUGUAUCCCCCACAAAAUUCAUAUGUUGAAGAUGAAUACCCAAUGUGACUAUAUUUGGAGCUAAGCCUUUUAGGAAGAAAUUAAGAUUGAACGAAUUCAUAAGGAUGGGAUCCUAAUUCAAUAGAACUGUAGACCUGAUAAGAAGAGGAAGAGAUCCCUCCCUCUCUCUCUUCACAGGCACACACAAAGGAAAGGCCAUGUUAACACACAGUGAUAAGGUGGCCAUCUGCAAGACAGGGAAAGAAUUCUCUUCAGAAUUCAACCACGCCCCCUGACUUCAGACUUCCAGCCUCCAGAACCAUGAGAAAAUAAAUUUCUGUAAAGACACUUAGUCUAUGGCAUUUUACUAUGGCACCCCAAGUUAAGUAAGACAUUUCCCAAAUUGACUUCAACUUACAACGAUAAAUUCUAUGUAAUUGUAUUUAAUUCCUAGUUUCACUCUCAAAAGCUACUGAGAUCAUUACUUCUCUUACAGAAUUUCCAUAUUCUUUAUUCUGUUUCAUAAGAAACUUAAUUACAUUUACUUCCCUUUGAAAGAAUUGACACAAAUGGCUAUUAGAAUCAUAUCUGAGGCAAAAUACCUUCAUAGUGCCAUAGUUAAGGAGCUGUGCAGUAUUUCAGAAGGAUGGUUUUAAAGCUUAGAAAACAGGAGCUACAUCUGAUCUAGUAAGUGAAUUAGCAAGAUGCUAAUAAGAUUAGAGAGAGGAUAUGACUGGUCCAGUCACAACUGAAGAGAGGGCUGGCGAAGUUCCCUUCCAACACAGAACAUCUUGGAUUCUGAUUCUCAGAUGUGCAGUUUGGGAAGUGGGUCAUUUCUUCAGACUACGUUAGUAUGCCAACUAAGUAAUUAUUACUCAAGUAUAAUAAAAAUGACAAAAAAAAAAACCCACAAAAAACUCAUGAGACUUUAAGAUUAAGCAAAUGACAAGGUCUGUGUGCUAACAGUAUAGACUUAAUGUGGGGAUGGUUGUUAGGGUGAAAUGCUCUGUACCAGAUGCCCAAAUUAGAAUCCCAGCUUAGUUAGAAUCCCACUUCUUGCUAUUAACCUGAGGGCAACCUUUCUGAGCUUCAGUUUCCUCACCUGCAAAAUGGGAUGAUAGUACCCACAACUAAGGAGGAAAUGAGUAAAUCCAUGUAAAGCCCUUGGAAAAGUCCCUUGCAUAUAGCACUCAAUAAGCAUUAGCUAUAGGAACAGCAGGACCAACUCUGCAUGUGAGUGCCUACAUACACAAAACCUGAGUGAAACAAUUUUGCUUUGCAAAUUACAUAUAAUUGGCUUUAUAAAUUUAUGUAAUUGCAGAAAAUUAUGUUCCUACUUCUAUAGCUAAGGAGUUCAUUCCUAUUCUCUUAAGUGAUUUUUGAAAAUGGAAUAUUAGAGUAAGAUGUGCUGGCUGGUCUCCAUUUGCCCUUCUAGAACCAUUCUCCACUCUUCCCUGUCUUAUUAUACCCCAGGGGAUUGACCUCUACUCUCCUCACACCUGGUCUCCUGCCCUCUGCUCCCUGUGAGUUUGGCCAGUGGCGGCCCUGAUAGGAAAUUGGAGGUUGGUAGGAGAGAAGGAUCAGAGUGUAUUCCUCCCCCUUCCUCACUUCCUCCCUCACUCCCUCCCCUUCUACUCCCCCCCCCCAAUUUCCUCCCUCCCCAGCCAAAAUUUUAGUUGUGUCUGUGGUCUUCCAUGUAAGGGGUAGGUUCCUCACAUGCACAACACCUGGUCUGUAAACCUUCCUUCUCCUUGCCUCUUCUGAUUUAGGGGUGGUAACACCAUCCCACUGUUCGUAGUUCCUAAGUAAGGUGACUUCACCAUCCCUUGCUCUGUCAUUUUUAUUAAACAUUAUUCAAUGAUUGUUUUCCAUCUGCCGUGGGUUCUGACUGAUAUGGAUGCUUAUAUACUUAUCUAAUUUGAUAGUGCUCUUGGAGGUCACCUUUAAUUGUCCUUUUUCUAAGUUGC
ensembl:lncRNA